rnacentral:lncRNA from 1 species
AAGUCCUUUUUAAUUCUUUUCAACCAAGAGGGGAAGAAAUCCAUUACCAAGGGCUACAUAAUACAAUCUAUAGUCAUAAAUUAACAUAUUCAUAGGAUAUAUUAUUUAUGACAAGUAACAUCUCUGCUUAGUUGUUCUUGACCAUUUGGAUAUGGCCAUUUUCAUUGAACCAAUUGACAAAACAGCAACAACAACAACAAAUAGCCAUUUAAUAUAAAUGAGUGAAGAACAUUAAAGACACAACCAACAUGAGAUCCAUAAUUCAAUUAAGAGGGUGAUCAAGGUUACAGUGAAGAUUUUAAAAAGGUCAAGUCAAAUUCGGCUUGUGUUCUCAUUGACCUGCAAUGCUGUGUGACAAGACUCAGUGCCAGGUCCGUUUUAGCAGUCUCUUUUUUCCUUACCAUGUUCACAGCUUCUAUUGCCAUCAAUAGAGGCAAUAAAAGGCAAUAGAAACAAGAGGCAAAAACGAUAAAAGGGCAGUAGACUCUUGCCUGCAUUUUCAAGUUACUCAUCGGUCCUGGGUUAUGGACUUUCCAUGAAUAUCUACAUUAUUUAUUUUUCUUUGCCAAGUCACCUGAUUUCUCAAGUCCUGGCUUAGGAAAUGUGCCGGGCAGGGAGGCAUGCCAUUGGCUCACAGAGAACUGUGUUUGUUACAAGUGCCCUUUGUUUUAUUUUUACUGUGGGAAGCAUAAAGUGGCAUGUAAUUUACGAGGCUCGAUUAUUUAUACUCUGAGGCUAAAGAAGAUUAAUAGUCUAUUUUGGUGCAUCUGGGAUGUGUGUUGUGGAAACAAAUUCACAAGCUGGAAUCCAGAUUACAAGCUCCAUGGAAGUAAACUGGACAAGGCUAGGAGUUUACCUGCUUUGCUCACCACUGUACACUCAGCAGCUGUUAAAUGAGUACCUGGCGUAAAGUAGAAAUACAAUACGUAUUUGUUGGAAAAACUGAAAGACUGAAUGGAGGCUAUUGUGGCAAAAAUUGACUUGGAGAUCAAGAAACCAUAGUACUCUCAGUCAUUCAUUCAUUCAUUCAACAAGUGUGCAUUGAAGACCUACCAUGAGUCAUCCAUGUGAUUCAUUAGGUUGUAGAACAAAAGGUGAGCAAGUCAUUGUCUUGCAUAUUGAGUAGAAAUGAAGUAUCCUGGAAAUGCAGAAAAGGGAGUGAUGACAGUUUGGAGAGUGAAAUGCUUUAAUGAGCGAUGUUUGAGCUGCUCCUAGAAGGAUGCAUAGGUUCACAGGCCAGGAAAGGAGAGGGCAUUUUAGAUAGAAGGAGAGCAUGCUCAAACACAUUAGGAAGGGAAGGUGAAUGGCAGGAUUGUGGACACAGAUUAUUGACCAGCUGGUGUCAUGGUGGGAACUGGAGCUGGAAGGAUAGAUCGGUGCUUGAUGAGGCGGAGCUGGGCCUUCAGGAAAAAGGAAGAAAAAACCACUUUUAAAAGUUUAAGUAGUUCAACAUGCACAUAUCUGAGUUUAGAAAUAUAGGUGUGAUGGGAAAAAAAAGAAUGGAACUGGAGGCAGAGAGAAGUGAUGCAAUGCUACUUCAAUAGUCCGGGGAGCAAAUGAGCCUGCACCUGGGAAGCAGCACAAGGAGAGGAGAAAAGUGCUUCUGCACGUCAUUGGGUGACCUUGGGCAUUUGUCCUAGCUAGGUCUCAACUUACUUUCUGUAAAAUGAGAGUUUUGAUUAGAUAAUCUCUAUGAUCUCUCUCAGCAUGAUGAUCCUAUAUGUGCCUUAGAAUUUUUCUUUCAUUGUAAGUUUAUCUAUCUGGUUUCCCAACCAUGAAGAGGCCACGCCAUCUACAUCUUUUUUUUUUUGUUUUUUGUCAUGUAUAUAUAGAUAAGUGUAUAUGGAAUGGACUGUGGAACAGAAAAGCCCAAAUUCAAAUCCCAGAUUUACCAUUUUCCAGUGGUAUGCCCAUGUCAGAUAUUUAUGCAUUCUAUGCCUCAGUUUCUUCAUCUGUAAAAUGGGGAUAUUCACAGUACCAACUUCAAAAAGUUAAGGGGGUUAAAUGAAACAAUAGAGUUGAAGUAUUUAAUGCAGGGUUUGGUACGUUGCGAGUGUCUAUAAAGAGUGGCUAUCAUCACUGUCACCAUCAUCAUCACCAUCAGCAUCAUCUUUCUACCUAGUAGAGUACUUAACCCCUAAAAAGUACUUAAUACAUUCCUGAUGAAUGACUGGAUGAAUGUAAAAAAAGAGAAUAGUAGUUCAGGUAAAAUUAUGCCAAAUAAAUCUCUACUUAAGUUUUUUUCCUUGACUAUUUGAGCAAGAUUUUUAUUAAUUCUA